rfam:Triticum aestivum genome assembly, contig: Triticum_aestivum_CS42_TGACv1_scaffold_212490_3AS
GUAGUAUUCCCUCCGUCCCAAAAUUCUUGUCUUACAUUUGUUUAGAUACACAUGUAUCUAACACUAAAAUGUAACUAGAUACAUCCGUAUUUAGACAAAUUUAAGACAAGAAUUUUGGGACGGAGGGAGUACAAA